rnacentral:misc_RNA from 1 species
AACCUAGCACACCUGCGGUGUGUACCUGCGGAGGGAUCAUUAUUGGAUCUUGGUUUUUUACAAGAGGUUGAGAGCUUUACUGUUCUUGCUUCUUCAAACAAACGAUCACAACAACUAGUAUAGCAAUUGAUUUGGUCUCUGUCUGGUGCGGUUUGUGUGUGUGUGUGUGUUGGCUGCUGCCAAAUACUCUGCAACAACCGUGCAUAGCGGAGAAGACACCAAAAGUAUUUGCCUGAUAAG